GUCGCAACCUUGUUCAAGACGACCACGCGUAAGAUCACAAACACUUAUCAUUCACGGACGCAAUACUGUGAGUUCAUGUCCCCUAUUCAUUUAAAUGUUUUACAACUUUACAACUAUCGGGGAAAAUACAUGUUCAACGUAAUUAGUGGACCAUGUCGGAAUUCAUAGUCAAGAUAACAAGUACUGGAACUCCAUGCCAUCUU
rnacentral:lncRNA from 1 species